GAUGAACGCUGGCGGCGUGCCUAAUACAUGCAAGUCGAGCGAACAGACGAGGAGCUUGCUCCUCUGACGUUAGCGGCGGAUGGGUGAGUAAUACGUGGAUAACCUACCUAUAAGACUGGGAUAACUUCGGGAAACCGGAGCUAAUACCGGAUAAUAUAUUGAACAGCAUGGUUCAAAAGUGAAAGACGGUUUUGCUGACACUUAUAGAUCGAUCCGCGCCGCAUUAGCUAGUUGGUAAGGUAACGGCUUACCAAGGCAACGAUGCGUAGCCGACCUGAGAGGGUGAUCGGCCACACUGGAACUGAGACACGGUCCAGACUCCUACGGGAGGCAGCAGUAGGGAAUCUUCCGCAAUGGGCGAAAGCCUGACGGAGCAACGCCGCGUGAGUGAUGAAGGUCUUCGGAUCGUAAAACUCUGUUAUUAGGGAAGAACAAAUGUGUAAGUAACUAUGCACGUCUUGACGGUACCUAAUCAGAAAGCCACGGCUAACUACGUG
rnacentral:rRNA from 1 species